AUGCUUAACACAUGCAAGUCGAACGGGAGUAGCAAUACUCCAGCGGCAGACGGGUGAGUAACGCGUGGUCAACCUUCCGUUGAAUGGGGGAUAACUAGCCGAAAGGUUAGCUAAUACCGCAUACGAUCUUUAAGCGGCAUCGUUUGAAGAUGAAAGAAGCAAUUCGUUCAACGACGGGACCGCGUCCCAUUAGCUAGAUGGUGGGGUAAUGGCCUACCAUGGCGACGAUGGGUAGCUGGUUUGAGAGAGCGACCAGCCACACUGGGACUGAGAAACGGCCCAGACUCCUACGGGAGGCAGCAGUGAGGAAUUUUCCGCAAUGGGCGCAAGCCUGACGGAGCGACGCCGCGUGUGGGAAGAAGGCCUUCGGGUCGUAAACCACUGUCGAAGGGGAAGAUUAUGACGGCACCCUUGGAGGAAGCCCCGGCUAACUACGUGCCAGCAGCCGCGGUAAGACGUAGGGGGCAAGCGUUGUUCGGAAUUAUUGGGCGUAAAGCGCUCGUAGGCGGGAUUGGAAGUCCGUGCUGAAAGACCUCGGCUCAACUGAGGGACCGGCUCGGAUACUCUAAUUCUUGAGGCAAUCAGAGGAUGAUGGAAUUCCCGGUGUAGCGGUGAAAUGCGUAGAUAUCGGAAGGAACACCAGUGG
rnacentral:rRNA from 1 species